ACUUGGAGGAACAGAAUCCCAGGACGAUCUGCGGGAACCACAACCUCACCAAGAUCUCCUCUACACAAGGCAGGAGCCAUAGUUUACCCGGGGGCCGGUGUCGCCUCAGCCUCCUCCGGGAAAGCUCCGAGACAGCGCAUCCAGAGCUAGAGCGCCGCCCACCCAGCGGUCCUGGGUCAGCUCCGCGGGAUGCAGGACAAGGGUCCUCGGCCAUCGAAAUCACUCUCCGCUCAUAAAGACACGGUUCCUUGUAGAGGAAGGAUUGGUGUACCAUUUGGGACCCUCCCAAUCCCCCAGAAGUAUCAAUGGCCCUUGCUCCGAACCGCCGGGUGCGGAGACGCACGACAGAGCAAGUGCCCACUGAGAAGAGCAGCGGAGAGAAGAGGAGAGAGAAAACCAGGAGGGAGAGACUGAGCCCGCUUCCCCGCCUGUCGGGUUUCGGGACCAAACGCAUCUCGGGCUGCUGGGCCCCGGAAGGACGCAAACCUCGGGCAGCAAAGGAAAAAGACCUCCCCCUCGCGGGCCCUGGGGCUGAAGGAAGAACUCGGUUGGAGGAAGGGAGGAGGAAAAGGAAACGCUCAUCUUUUCCCGUUUUGUUUUAUGUUUUGGUUUGGUUUGAUUUUUCCUCCACUGAGCGCAAAACAGAAUCAGCCGCGACUCUGGCUGGCCUGGAGAGCAUCCAUUAUUUAAUGAAAAAC
rnacentral:lncRNA from 10 species